GACGAACGCUGGCGGCGUGCUUAACACAUGCAAGUCGAACGGAAAGGCCUCUUUCGGGGGGUACUCGAGUGGCGAACGGGUGAGUAACACGUGAGUAACCUGCCCUUGACUUUGGGAUAACUUCAGGAAACUGGGGCUAAUACCGGAUAGGAGCUCCUGCUGCAUGGUGGGGGUUGGAAAGUUUCGGCGGUUGGGGAUGGACUCGCGGCUUAUCAGCUUGGUGGUGGGGUAGUGGCUUACCAAGGCUUUGACGGGUAGCCGGCCUGAGAGGGGGACCGGCCACAUUGGGACUGAGAUACGGCCCAGACGCCGACGGGAGGCAGCAGUGGGGAAUAUUGCACAAUGGGUGGAAGCCUGAUGCAGCAACGCCGUGUGCGGGAUGACGGCCUUCGGGUUGUAAACCGCUUUCGCUCAUGACGAAGCUUUGUGUGACGGUAGUGGGUAAAGAAGCACCGGCUAACUACGUG
rnacentral:rRNA from 1 species